GAGGAACCUGCCUCAAAGAGGGGGACAACAGCCUUUAACGACUGCUAAUACCGCAUAAGCCCACGACCCGGCAUCGGGUUGAGGGAAAAGGAGCAAUCCGCUUUGAGAUGGCCUCGCGUCCGAUUAGCUAGUUGGUGAGGUAACGGCCCACCAAGGCGACGAUCGGUAGCCGGACUGAGAGGUUGAACGGCCACAUUGGGACUGAGACACGGCCCAGACUCCUACGGGAGGCAGCAGUGGGGAAUAUUGCACAAUGGGGGAAACCCUGAUGCAGCGACGCCGCGUGGAGGAAGAAGGUCUUCGGAUUGUAAACUCCUGUUGUUGAGGAAGAUAAUGACGGUACUCUUCAAGGAAGUGACGGCUAACUACGUGCCAGCAGCCGCGGUAAAACGUAGGUCACAAGCGUUGUCCGGAAUUACUGGGUGUAAAGGGAGCGCAGGCGGGAAGACAAGUUGGAAGUGAAAUCUAUGGGCUCAACCCAUAAACUGCUUUCAAAACUGUUUUUCUUGAGUAGUGCAGAGGUAGGCGGAAUUCCCGGUGUAGCGGUGGAAUGCGUAGAUAUCGGGAGGAACACCAGUGGCGAAGGCGGCCUACUGGGCACCAACUGACGCUGAGGCUCGAAAGUGUGGGUAGCAAACAGGAUUAGAUACCCUGGUAGUCCACACCGUAAACGAUGAUUA
rnacentral:rRNA from 1 species